UACGAAGGGUGCAAGCGUUGCUCGGAAUUAUUGGGCGUAAAGGGUAGGUAGGUGGUCUCAUUUGUCAGGGGUGAAAGCCUUGGGCUUAACCCAAGAAGUGCCCCUGAAACGGUGAGACUGGAGUCUUGGAGAGGGUCGUGGAAUUCCCGGUGUAGCGGUGAAAUGCGCAGAUAUCGGGAGGAACACCGGUGGCGAAGGCGGUUCUCUGGGCCUGUACUGACGCUGAGGAGCGAAAGCGUGGGGAGCGAACAGG
rnacentral:rRNA from 1 species